UGCAUUUGGCAUGUGUGUAUAUAUAUAUAUAUAUAUAUAUAUAUAUAUAUAUAUACAUGCACACAAGUUCCAUGUUUG